GACGAACGCUGGCGGCGUGCUUAACACAUGCAAGUCGAACGGAAAGGCCCUGCUUUUGUGGGGUGCUCGAGUGGCGAACGGGUGAGUAACACGUGAGUAACCUGCCCUUGACUUUGGGAUAACUUCAGGAAACUGGGGCUAAUACCGGAUAGGAGCUCCUGCUGCAUGGUGGGGGUUGGAAAGUUUCGGCGGUUGGGGAUGGACUCGCGGCUUAUCAGCUUGUUGGUGGGGUAGUGGCUUACCAAGGCUUUGACGGGUAGCCGGCCUGAGAGGGUGACCGGCCACAUUGGGGCUGAGAUACGGCCCAGACUCCUACGGGAGGCAGCAGUGGGGAAUAUUGCACAAUGGGCGGAAGCCUGAUGCAGCAACGCCGCGUGCGGGAUGACGGCCUUCGGGUGGUAAACCGCUUUCGCCUGUGACGAAGCGUGAGUGACGGUAAUGGGUAAAGAAGCACCGGCUAACUACGU
rnacentral:rRNA from 1 species